rnacentral:rRNA from 1 species
AGAAUGACUUUUGACCUCAAAUCAGGUAGGACUACCCGCUGAACUUAAGCAUAUCAAUAAGCGGAGGAAAAGAAACUAACAAGGAUUCCCCUAGUAACUGCGAGUGAAGCGGGAANAGCUCAAAUUUAAAAUCUGACAGUAUUUGGCUGUCCGAAUUGUAGCCUAGAGAAGUGUUGCCGGCACUGGACCAUGUACAAGUCCCCUGGGAUGGGGCCUCAUAGAGGGUGAGAAGCCCGUUUUUGACAUGGACUACCAGGGCGUUGUGGUACGCUCUCAAAGAGUUGAGUUGUUNGGGAAUGCAGCUNUAAAUGGGUGGUAAAUUCCAUNUAAAGNUAAAUAUUGNNGNGAGACCGAUAGCGAACAAGUACCGUGAGGGAAAGAUGAAAAGAANUUNGGAAAGAGAGUUAAACAGUA